GAUGAACGCUGGCGGCGUGCCUAAUACAUGCAAGUCGAGCGAACAGAUAAGGAGCUUGCUCCUUUGACGUUAGCGGCGGACGGGUGAGUAACACGUGGGUAACCUACCUAUAAGACUGGGAUAACUUCGGGAAACCGGAGCUAAUACCGGAUAAUAUUUCGAACCGCAUGGUUCGAUAGUGAAAGAUGGUUUUGCUAUCACUUAUAGAUGGACCCGCGCCGUAUUAGCUAGUUGGUAAGGUAACGGCUUACCAAGGCGACGAUACGUAGCCGACCUGAGAGGGUGAUCGGCCACACUGGAACUGAGACACGGUCCAGACUCCUACGGGAGGCAGCAGUAGGGAAUCUUCCGCAAUGGGCGAAAGCCUGACGGAGCAACGCCGCGUGAGUGAUGAAGGUCUUCGGAUCGAAAAACUCUGUUAUUAGGGAAGAACAUACGUGUAAGUAACUGUGCACGUCUUGACGGUACCUAAUCAGAAAGCCACGGCUAACUACGUG
rnacentral:rRNA from 1 species